CACAUAGUUUCAUAUAUGUUUAUGAGACAUUUGGUAGACAAAAGUUCGUUUGUUUAUUUCAAUCUAAACGGGCAUAUUUAGAUUCUACAAAAGAAGUUCAGAAAUGUUUCCUAAAAUAAAAUAUGUACAUAUUCACAACUUUCUAAUGUUUAUAAAAACGUUUUUAAAAUAUUUUAAAAUUAAAUAAGUAAAAAACUACGUUCUAAAUCUAGCACGGGUAUUUUAAAGUCAUUCCAAGAAACACAGAGGCGCAUCUAUAUUUAUGUAGCUGUAAACUGACUGCUAGCCUGGUGAGUUCAGAGUUUAUGAGUCCCGGGAGUGCUGUUAAAUGCACAGAAAUGCUUGGGAAAUAUUUUUAUGGACCAAGAUUAAUGCACUUUUGCACCUCACUUAUUAAAUCCGUCAUAACAUUGUGUGUAAUUUCAACAUAGUAGCUACUAUUUUUUGAUUUGAAGACAUAAAUUUCAAAUAUUAUAUUUUUGAUUUGGAAACUGAACAGAAGACAUAAAUCUUAAAAGAAAGAAUCUAUUGGAAAUGCCAGAAAAACUUUAAUAAAUGAUUACCCAAGUUACUUCUGAUGUCGAUCAUAAAUUAGAAGAGUAUUGCAAUUAUUAUAAACAAAAUUUGAUAUCUAGGGUUGUAUUAGAAUAUUUGGAAGAUUUUCUGACACCUUUUCGACUUGUGUGUAUACAAAUAUCUAAACAAUGCAAAGGUUAAGGCGCCAAUAUUUUCCGAAAGAACAAAAAAUUAUUUGAUUUUGUUUUGUUCCCUGAAUGAAAAGAAGCGGAGUCGAAUGUUUGGAGUGAGCGGCUUGUAAUCCGCUGAUGAGAGACAUGCUAAUAAAUACUUUACUUAAACAAAACAAAAACCGGUUUUGGGUCUACGAAAACCCCCAAGAAUCGAUUAUGGAACGAAAAUAAAUGUUUAUUGAAUGCAAACAGCAAUAUAAAUUAUGAAAUUUAACAUUUCUUGCUACCUUAUUUGCAUUGGCGCCAAGAAAAAGUCUCAAAAAAUGCAAAAAGUUAAAUUUAUGGUUUUGCGUCAGACGGAAUUCCGAACGAAACCAAAAGAGAUAAUAAUAAUUAUAGCAACAGUUAUCGAUUACUGAUCAGUAUCUAUAGUCAUUUGACACUUACCUGAUCUUGACAAAAGUAGCCGAAUCCAAUGAUGCCAGCAAUGGCCAGAAAGAGACAAAAUACAAUAAUUGUUCGUAUUUUGGAUCGUGGUUCCAUUUUCUUGAUUUCAUAAACACCGCUGGGCAGUAAUAAAGCAAAAUCACUAUCAACUUGUACGGAGACGUUUUUAUGCAUAUCCACGGGCAUGUUCCAUAGGGCCUCAAUUUAGUUUACCGCGAAUUUGGAAAUAAUAAAAUCCACAUUGGUACCAUUCAUGCCCCUUCAACACCGAACCGAUUAACAUUUACGUAACCCAAGCAGACGCCAGUCAUUGUCCGAUAACGAUUGUCGCUCACAA